rfam:Candidatus Moranbacteria bacterium RIFOXYB1_FTLL_43_19 rifoxyb1_full_scaffold_301, whole genome shotgun sequence.
CCUAGUGCUUCUAGCGUGAGGGGUACACCCGAUCCCUUCCCGAACUCGGCAGUUAAGCCUCACAGCGCCGAUGGUAGCCGCAAGGUGAGAGUAGGCCAGUGCUAGGA